GAUGAAGAACGCAGCGAAAUGCGAUAAGUAAUGUGAAUUGCAGAAUUCAGUGAAUCAUCGAAUCUUUGAACGCACAUUGCGCCCCUUGGUAUUCCGAGGGGCAUGCCUGUUCGAGCGUCAUUAUAACCCUCAAGCUCAGCUUGGUGUUGGGGCCUGCUGCACUGGCAGCCCUUAAAAUCAGUGGCGGCGCCAUCUGGCUCUAAGCGUAGUAAUUCUUCUCGCUAUGGAGUCCUGGUGGAUGCUUGCCAUCAACCCCCAAUUUUUCUAUGGUUGACCUCGGAUCAGGUAGGGAUACCCGCUGAACUUAAGCAUAUCGAUAAGCGGAGGA
rnacentral:misc_RNA from 1 species